AUAGCACUAAACCAUAGCAAAGCAACCAAUGUAAAUCAUGUCAUUAGUUAAAAAAAAUGGCAGCAAUAUCAAGUAAUGCAUAAGAGUGAGAGACACAUGCAGGUUAUAGACUUAGACAUGAAAACUAAUAGUCUGAGGAAUAGGUUUCAGAAGAGCUGAAAGCUGAUCGAUCUGGAAUGGGAGAGUGAGUUCGACUGGAAUUGAGGUCAGAUGUUUCCAAGUCCCUUAAGCAUGUUUCCAACCGAGCAAAACCCUUAUGUAUCUUCUUUUCUAAGCGUCUCAUCCUUGUUUCCUGAGAUGACAGAAAGUGCUUGAUGAAGAAUGUUUGAACCUUGAGUUCCUCCUCCGUUUUAUGUACCAUUGCUUCCAAGGCUGGAGAGAUUGUUCGAAGUGCCUUGAGAGCAGCCUGCUUCUCCUUUUCCUCAGCAUAUUCUUGAGUGUUAAUCAAGAAUGCGUACACAUCCAGGCCAGGAGAAGGAAAUCGGUAAGUAAGCUUUCUUGCACUGUCGUCGUUGGUUCUGCUCAUGAUGGAAACUAAACCAAGGAACGAGAAAACACAGUGCAUGGUUCAAAUCAGUCCUAAAGCUCUAUAGAAUAGAGUGGAGUAAACAAAUAGAGCGAAAGGAUAACGAUAGACUUACUAAGAGAGACUUUAGACGUGGAGACGAAGGCAGUUGCGAACGGUUAUAGUCGAUUUAGGAUUUUGAACAGACGCUGAAAACCUAAUAUGGGUUUUAUAGACUCGAGUUCUAGUCGAUUAACUAAAUGUGGGUAGUCGAUUAUCAUGCUCUCUGUUUCCAGUUUAGUCGACUACUAAGGAUUACACAGCCAGGGGAUAGUCGAUUAUCUUAGUGAUAAUUGACUGACUCGAAAUUUUUUUUUUUUCAAAAAAAUCAAUUUUAUCAAUCCAGCUCAGAUAACAAGUAUUUUGUAUAUUAUGUAAGGAAUGUGUGCUC
rnacentral:lncRNA from 1 species